GAGGCACGCGGCCCGUGCGGCGCUCGAUCCGGUGACGCGCCGGCCGCCGCCGACGCCGGCAAUCACAGCACCCUGCACCACCGUUCCACCUUAGCUCCUCAUCUUCCCCGCGUGCCCGAGCUCCUCCUCUCUCCCGCGUGCCCGAGCUCCUCGCUGUGUGCCGCUCGGGAGGGCUUGCGUUCGCCGCUCGACCAAAGCCACCGCGAGCUGGUCGUCGUUGCACUUGCUGGCGACCUGGCCGUCCCCUCUGCACCACUUUCACCUCAAAUUUGGACGCUCAUGUGCUUGUGGAUGUUCUCAGUUAUUUUUUGCACACAAGGUGUUUGUGUGUUUGUCUGAACCAGUUUCAGUCACAGAUCCUUGAGCCGACCUAAUUGAGCUAUCGGAGGUGUUGCGGUCUUUUAGCAAACAUGCCCUAUAUUCUAUGGUUUGGCAUCUACAGGAUGCCAUCUCUGGUCAUGGAUCCACUAUGGCUGCUUCGUCCUUCACUUAGGACCUUCUCACCCCCACAGAGAUCAGAGAGAAAAAUAUAUCUUGGAAGCAGGAACCCUUACCUCAUAAGAUGGGUGAGCUGUAGGAUUUGGUUCUGUUGAACUUGAAUUAGUUUUUGCUCAUCAUGUUCUCUGUAUUAGGAAUUCAGGUGCCUUCCAACUCUAAUUUUUUCGUAUUGUUGGUGCAUGCUGGGAGUCACAUUGUUAUGCAUGCUAGCAAACAUUAGGAUUGGAAUCUUACCCUGUAGGUUAUUAAUAUCUUUU